UACGAAGGGUGCAAGCGUUAAUCGGAAUUACUGGGCGUAAAGCGUGCGCAGGCGGUUUUGUAAGUCUGUCGUGAAAUCCCCGGGCUCAACCUGGGAAUUGCGAUGGAGACUGCAAGGCUUGAAUCUGGCAGAGGGGGGUAGAAUUCCACGUGUAGCAGUGAAAUGCGUAGAGAUGUGGAGGAACACCGAUGGCGAAGGCAG
rnacentral:rRNA from 1 species